rnacentral:rRNA from 1 species
GACGAACGCUGGCGGCGUGCCUAAUACAUGCAAGUCGAACGCAGGGGGGACGGGUGAGUAACACGUGGGUAACCUCCCAUAAGCGGGGAGAACACUUGGAAACAGGUGCUAAACCGAUAGUGAUGGAUGGACCCGCGGUGCAUUAGCUAGUUGGUGAGGUAACGGCUCACCAAGGCCACGAUGCAUAGCGAGCCUGAGAGGGUGAUCGGCCAGACUGGAACUGAGACACGGCCCAGACUCCUCCGGGGGGCAGCAGUGGGGAAUCUUCGCAAAUGGACGAAAGUCUGACCAGGCAACGCCGCGUGAGGGAAGAAGGUUUUCGGAUCGUAAAACUCUGUUGUUAGGGAGGCGGUAUCUAACCAGAAAGCCACGGCUAACUACGUGCCAGCAGCCGCGGUAAUAC